rnacentral:rRNA from 1 species
CACGCCGCGUGAGUGAUGAAGGUUUUCGGAUCGUAAAACUCUGUUGUUAGGGAAGAACAAGUACCGUUCGAAUAGGGCGGUACCUUGACGGUACCUAACCAGAAAGCCACGGCUAACUACGUGCCAGCAGCCGCGGUAAUACGUAGGUGGCAAGCGUUGUCCGGAAUUAUUGGGCGUAAAGCGCGCGCAGGCGGUUUCUUAAGUCUGAUGUGAAAGCCCCCGGCUCAACCGGGGAGGGUCAUUGGAAACUGGGGAACUUGAGUGCAGAAGAGGAGAGUGGAAUUCCACGUGUAGCGGUGAAAUGCGUAGAGAUGUGGAGGAACACCAGUGGCGAAGGCGACUCUCUGGUCUGUAACUGACGCUGAGGCGCGAAAGCGUGGGGAGCGAACAGGAUUAGAUACCCUGGUAGUCCACGCCGUAAACGAUGAGUGCUAAGUGUUAGAGGGUUUCCGCCCUUUAGUGCUGCAGCAAACGCAUUAAGCACUCCG